AGUGAACGCUGGCGGUAGGCCUAACACAUGCAAGUCGAACGGCAGCACAGUAAGAGCUUGCUCUUACGGGUGGCGAGUGGCGGACGGGUGAGGAAUACAUCGGAAUCUACUUUUUCGUGGGGGAUAACGUAGGGAAACUUACGCUAAUACCGCAUACGACCUACGGGUGAAAGCAGGGGAACUUCGGACCUUGCGCGAUUGAAUGAGCCGAUGUCGGAUUAGCUAGUUGGCGGGGUAAAGGCCCACCAAGGCGACGAUCCGUAGCUAGUCUGAGAGGAUGAUCAGCCACACUGGAACUGAGACACGGUCCAGACUCCUACGGGAGGCAGCAGUGGGGAAUAUUGGACAAUGGGCGCAAGCCUUAUCCAGCCAUACCGCGUGGGUGAAGAAGGCCUUCGGGUUGUAAAGCCCUUCUGUUGGGAAAGAAAAGCAGCAGGUUAAUACCCCGCUGUUCUGACGGUACCCAAAGAAUAAGCACCGGCUAACUUCGUG
rnacentral:rRNA from 1 species